rnacentral:rRNA from 1 species
UUCCAGACUCCUACGGGAGGCAGCAGUGGGGAAUAUUGCACAAUGGGGGAAACCCUGAUGCAGCGACGCCGCGUGAGUGAAGAAGUAUUUCGGUAUGUAAAGCUCUAUCAGCAGGGAAGAUAAUGACGGUACCUGACUAAGAAGCCCCGGCUAACUACGUGCCAGCAGCCGCGGUAAUACGUAGGGGGCAAGCGUUAUCCGGAUUUACUGGGUGUAAAGGGUGCGUAGGUGGCAGGGCAAGUCAGAUGUGAAAGCCCGGGGCUCAACCCCGGUACUGCAUUUGAAACUGUCCAGCUGGAGUGCAGGAGAGGUAAGCGGAAUUCCUAGUGUAGCGGUGAAAUGCGUAGAUAUCAGGAGGAACACCGGCGGCGAAGGCGGCUUACUGGACGGCAACUGACGUUGAGGCCCGAAAGCGUGGGGAGCGAACAGGAUUAGAUACCCUAGUACCU